UCCCCUCCUCGUUCCUAUCUCCCCCAAAUCCUCUGCAUCCUCAUUCAAAUCCCGUCGGCCGCCACAGGGUCUCGCACUCCGUCGUCGUCCUCCACACCAGCGGUCGCCUUGCCAGGCGAGCAGCAACAAGACGCCAUGGGGCGAGCGGUUGACGCGCGGGGGAGAAGCCCAUGAGCGGGUAUUCGAGGUAGUCCACCUCCUCCAGGGUGCAGCACGCGGUGGCCUCCACGAAUCACACUCCCUCGCUGGUACAGUCCACCACGAGUUCGCCGACGUCGGACAACACGAGGAGGCCGGCGAUGGGAUAGUGGCUCACCAGCUUGGCAGCCAGAUCCCGCUCAAUGUCCUCGACCGGGGAUUCGGCGGCGUCGUCUCCUGCAGCGCGGCCCUUGAAGACGUGGAGGGACUCUAUCAGGGCGCGCUGCAUCGGGGUAGCGGUCGAGCCAGGAAAGCAGGAGCUCGCUGCUGGGCGUGUACGUCGAAGGGGCCUGCUGCGCCGCGCCCGCUCUAGCGGUCCUCAUGGUGGUGGUUGUGGUGGGCGGAUAUCUGGUUAUUGUGUUGGCGUACUCGCUGGCUAGCUCACCUGGGGAAAGGAAGAGAAUCAGCUGAGUGGCUAUAGGGUGGGCAGGCCGGAGCUGGUUUGUUGAAGGAGAGCCGACAUGGAAUUUAAGAAGAGAUCAGCUACUGCAUCAUUUUUCUAAUCUUCAGCCCAAGUUCAAGAUUCAUCUCUCCAUCUUUUCCCACUACAAUCAACUUAGCUCUUGGUGAUGGCUUGUCAAUCCAUGGCUGCCUUGGCCUAGGCAAGAAGCAUGCACCGUUCCUGUCAUGACCUUCUUUUGUGCGGAGUACUCUUCGUGGUUCUUGCAUCCCAUGCAGGUACAACUCACCCUCCCAUCUUACCUUCUACUAUGCAAUGUCAGGAAAUCCUCUGACCCCUGCAAAUAAACAACAAUUGAAAGGUGUUUCAAAGUUUCUUUCCAAUGGUCUGCAUACUAAGAGAUAUUCCUAUAUGGUUACCCUAAAGCCAGUAUUUACUUCUGCUGCUCUAGGAUUUUUUUUUUAAAAUACUGGAGGUGAUACUUCUACUCAGAUUCAUACGGUUUGGUCCUUUUGUUGGGUUUUAAGUUGCGUGGCGUUAUUGUUGUGGAUGUAGGAUAAAAGAGAGUACUCACGCGGGCUAAAAAGGGAGGAAUGGUUUUCCUCCAUAUUGGAUAGGUUAAAGAUGGUUCUACAUUUAUUUGGUGGUAUCAUUUAUCCUAAUUUGCUGCUAUCAACUCCAGUUAUUUCACUUGCGUGAUCUCCUUGAACAUGCUAUUUUUUUAUCAGCUUAUGGGAUAUACUCCAGAAUGAAAUAAGAUAGUUUUUUCUUCGUAUUUGGUAAUUCAUUACGAUUUCGAUGUUUUUUCUUGGGUCAUGAUCUAAAUUAAGUUUUGGUUUAGUUCUCCAUUUUACCAUUAUGUUGAGAUCAGCAAACUAUUGGUACGGUUAGGCUGUCAAUGCUUUUUUUUUUGCCUUGACUUCUGUUUCUUUGGAUUCAGAUGAACACUAUAGAAUACCACAAAAGACAUCUGCAGUAAAAUCUUCUGUUGAUGAUUUUUCAGGUUAAGUUUUCUAUUAAAAUCAAUUGGUUUCUACCUUAUACUUACUGCAUAUUGAUAUAUUACCUUUUAUUCCUUUUUACAUCAGAAUAUACUCCAUCUGAGUCUGAUUCUAUGGCGUUGGAUAAUGUUACUAUGUGCUCGAAGAAUUAUAUGUAUUAUCAGGGCAACACCAUCUUACAGAAAACGAGAGUUGACGAUCUUUAAAUUUUUUUUUUUGUCCUCAAAUAAGAAAGUAGAAACAUAUCAACGCUCUCCUGAAGGUAGGAAGACGGGAAGGAAGCUGUUGCUGUUAUUUUGUAUUUGGUUUUGUAUAAAAUAAAUUGCUAAGCUCCAUGGUCCGUGAGCUCCGGCCGCAACGUCCAAUUUCGCAGGGCCUGGAUUGCUCCUCGCCGAGGUUAGCCCUCCUCACAAAUGUCCACGCCCAAGUUAAUUCUCUGCAGCCUUUUGCGGAGCGCCACAAGUCCUGCUAUUUUCUGGGAUCUGUUUUUUUAUCCCAAGAAUGGUGAUUGUUUGCACAUUGAGCUAGCAAAGUCGAAUUCACGCAAACGUAACAGAGGCACUAUUUGUACAAUAUUGAUAAUUCUCUUGCUCGUAUCAGUUCCAUCGAGCAAAAUGUAAUGAACUCUUUUACACCGUUCAAUUCAUUACGAUUUUCAUGUUAGGUGGUGGUGAUGUGUACAAAGUUAUUGACAAGCGAGUAUAUAGAACAGAGGAACAAUCUGAAAAUGACAACAACGGUGGUGAAGGUGAUGAUGAUUUCUCUGACAAUGGUGAUGGUGGUGACAAUGAUGGUAAUGGAGUUUGUAGUAUGGGAUUUCUCUUGAAACUAUCAACUACAAUCUCAUUGUUGUUGUUGGCAACCGAACUUCAGGGCAGGGUGGACACAGAAAAUGACAAUUCCAAUGGCAAGGAUGAGUUACCUGCGGAUCAAAGGUUAACAACUUAACAUGCGCUUCACAUUACUUAUUCCUGGAGUUAAUUCUCUUUCUUGAUUUGGCUUUCACCUUAAUAAAGCGUAAGAGCUAAUGUGACACUUCUCUUAAGUCUGCCGAUUGUACAAGGAUUUGUUAAUGAUAGAUGAAUAGGUGAUUGGUAUUUCCUUUGAUCGAUAGUGGUGAACCAGGAAUAGAGCAGCAGAAGAGGCUUUCUUCUUCAAAUGUGAGUUCCAUGUCAUAGCUUCACUUUAUCACACUUACCUUAUAUCCUUGUUUUAACAGUAAUACCAAUAUACACUGCUGCAGUUUUGUGAAACAAAGCAAGCGGUUGUGAAUGAUUUUUUUAGCUUGAUUUGUCACAUUCUAUAAUGUGACAUGAUGGUACUUGUAUCUAUGUUCAUAUUUUGUGUAAGAGCAUUAGAAGAAGCUGACCAAAAUACUGCUGCAAUAUGGAUAUUGCAUGUCUUGGGAAUCAUGUAGUACCUCAAUUUAUCACCAAAUUGAAAUGGAGUAUUUCUGCAUAAACUGUGUUACUUUGAACUAGAAACAAUGGAUCUAAUGCAAGUAGUCCAGUACAUCCUAAUUAUUUCUUCCAUCCAACCUGCAAUGUUGUUCCUCUUUUAGAGGAAACAGGAAAGAAAGGUAACCCACAAUGCACUUUUUUCCGCGGGAUGAUUGAAGAUGCAGAAGAGAAGGACUUAAUUUCACAUGGUGUUAUGAGUUAUGACACUAAUCGAGCCAGCGAGCAGCACUCUUAAGAAUUUGAUUUGUGUUCAUCCCUUUUUAGAAAAGCUACCUGUUUAUUGAUGUCAUGCCUGCAAAAUAUUCACUUGACAAACAAAUGCUACUGAGAUUUUUAGGCUCUGAACUGACAUUGACAUGUGGAAACUAGGAUUUUAGCUCAUACAUGGUUAAGAACUCAGUAAAUAAUUAGACGCCUUUAUAGAUUUUUUGACUAAUAUUUCUUCACCUUAGUUGCAGUUUUUUGUUUCUAUUGUGGUUGUUCCAGCUUUUUAUGUAGCUUUGACAUAUUGAUGGUUACUGAUUCACUUGCAGAACAUCUACACUAUGGUAGUUGUUAAGUAAUGUUUGUCUCUCAUUUAGUUUAAGGGAAUGAUGGGCGAAGGUGGAGGAGUUGAUGAAGACAAUACUAAAUCCUAUAGGGCAAGGAUUAUUUUUCCACUGGCCAAGGACAAGCUAAGAUGGCUCCAAGGUUGUGGGCUGCUACGGGAUGUUGCGACUCUUUGUCUUAUAGAUAGUUGUCUUUGUUAGAUUUGUUCGCUUUACACCACCGUGUGUCUAUCCAUCCUCUAUGCAUUAUGUUCAUUCACACAUUUAUAUGCUCUGUUUCGAAUCAACUAGACCUACGCACGUUUUCACUGAUUCGAUCUUUAUGUGUUAGUUAUAAAGAGUUACUUUGUUCAAUCUAAAUAUCCUCUUGCAUUUUGUAUAGCGAUGACAAGACUGUUAUCGUCUGAUCUGUUAAGAGAGCCUUGCUCCAGGAAUCACCACCUUGGAUUGCGUCUAAAGGUGUGCUUGAGGUGGUACCUCCGGUUGAGUUUGAAGAGGUGAUUCUUUUUUGCACAUUAAACACGCGCGUGAUAGAAUAUAAUUUCAGUGCAAUACAAUGUUCAUGGUCAAAUGAUAUUCGGUUAUGAAACAAGAUGGUAAGAGAAAUUUAGAAGCUUUUGUAUAAUGUACAAAUAUCACUUGAUAGGAAAUGAGAAGCUUUUGUAUAAUCUACAAAUAUCACUUGACAGGUCAGAUAAAUAUCACUUUGCAAAUUUGAUUCCCAAUGAAGAAACCAAAUAUGUAUGAAGCAAACAUUAAGGAGAAAUGUCAGAUAAAUAUCACUUUGCAAAUUUGAUUCCCAAUGGAGAAACCAAAUAUGUAUGAAGCAAAGAUUAAGGAGAAAUGUCAGAUAAAUAUCACUUUGCAAAUUUGAUUCCCAAUGGUGAAACCAAAUAUGUAUGAAGCAAAUAUUAAGGAGAAAGCGAUGACAACAAA